UACGUAGGGGGCAAGCGUUGUCCGGAUUCAUUGGGCGUAAAGAGCGUGUAGGCGCCAGGUAGGUCGGUUGUGAAAACUGGAGGCUCAACCUUCAGAGGUCGACCGAAACCAUCUGGCUAGAGUCCGGGAGAGGAGAGUGGAAUUCCUGGUGUAGCGGUGAAAUGCGCAGAUAUCAGGAAGAACACCCGUGGCGAAAGCGGCUCUCUGGAACGGUACUGACGCUGAGGCACGAAAGCUAGGGGAGCAAACAGG
rnacentral:rRNA from 1 species